ACCACACCUUAUUUUCUCUCUAGCUAAUUAUUUUGUUGUUUCAAUAUGCAAGGAAGCAACAACGUGACUUACAUUUAUAUGGAAACAACGCAGUUUUGAAUUGAUAGAGCACUAACGUGACUUGGUAUUUUACGGAAGAAAAAUGUAAUUUUUUUUCUCAAGAACAAUAUUCGGAUUUUGCUCACUGCUUCGAUCUCGUUAUUCCAUCUUAUCGUGUUGUUAAAUCCGGGCUUUUUUCGUAGUGAAGUAAGGUGGAAGAAGAUUAUUUCUUGGAAUAUAAGACAUGCGAGCUCGAGAAGUAGACGUUGGACAUUAGAUAGAGUUCAAGGUAGACAGGGAGGUGAGCUUGGUCCAGACCCUUAGUAGCUGUCAGCUGAUUAAGAGCACUCCAUUGUCCGGAGGUUCUUAUGAUUCUUCUUUUGGUAUAUAUGCAUAUUUUGGGCACGACAGAGUCUUGUUCCGUCUAUAUGUUUAGUAUGUCAGUAGAGGCUCGUAGAUACGCAGUGUGGGUCAGAUGGUCUCACAAGAUGUUAUUAUUAUGUAUAUAUUAUUUUGAUGGCCGAGAGGCAAAUGUAUAUAAGUAUUUAUGUUUCUAUAUAAAAUAUGAUUUUCCUACAAUUCGUGUAUAAAAUUGGUAAAAGGGCAUUAAAUGAGUAAGAUGAGUAUUAG